UGAGGUGGGUUGGGGGAGAAAGUAAAGAAGAGAGAUAGAGGUAAGAAAGUAAAGGAGAGGAAAUGGAGAAAGUAAAUGAGAGAGGCAGAGGUGAGAAAGUAAAUGAGGGAGAUAGUAAAGGAGAAGGACAAGGAGAAAAUAAAUGAGAGAUAGAGGUGAGAAAGAAAGGGAGAGAGAGAGUGUGUGCCACAAGAGAGAGAGAAGAGAGAAUGUCACACAUGGACACAGUGAAAGCCUUGAAAAUCUUUAGGUUACGUUUUAACGUCAUGAAAGCAAGGACGGGAUCAUUGACUUGGCUAUUGUUAAUUGCAUCCCUCGGUAAAAUGUAAUAUCUUAAGCCAAUCACGUCAAAUCGACCGUUUUAGGAAGUUAAACGAAAUGUUGUUGCUUUCAUUUUUGCACGUGAAAAGGCACACAUAAUCAGAUACUUGUUUGGUCUGAUUUCGCAACCCGCAUCCCAUGGGACGUCUCAGAAACUCGCUACAAAAAGUCCAGCCCUGCAGAACAAGGAACCAGGACAGUACAAAUAACGGCGGAGUCAGCUCACUUAUCAUGGUGUGGGGGCAAUUGUCUUUUCUGUGCGUCUCGCUAGAAACACUGGACACUCAACGGUAUCAGACAAUUGCAUGAUCUGGGCACGGCGCCUUUACAGCGCGUCGAGGGAGACGGAGCUACGGUAUAACAAGCAAUUACGGUUCAAUUUUGAUCAACAAAUUGUCAAAAACUAGGCUCUCAUGCGUCCAUCUUAAUGUGCGAUUAAACACCCCUGAAACGAC